rnacentral:rRNA from 1 species
GUCUAUGGUCCGAUCUCGAAAGCUAAGCAGGGUCGGGCCUGGUUAGUACUUGGAUGGGAGACCGCCUGGGAAUACCAGGUGCUGUAAGCG